rnacentral:rRNA from 1 species
CCUACGGGAGGCAGCAGUAGGGAAUCUUUCACAAUGGGCGAAAGCCUGAUGGAGCAACGCCGCGUGCAGGAUGAAGGCCUUCGGGUUGUAAACUGCUUUUAUAAGCGAGAAAUAUGAUGGUAACUUAUGAAUAAGGAUCGGCUAACUACGUGCCAGCAGCCGCGGUCAUACGUAGGAUACGAGCAUUAUCCGGAGUGACUGGGUGUAAAGAGUUGCGUAGGUGGCAUAAUAAGUAGCUAGUGAAAUCUGGUGGCUCAACCAUUCAGACUAUUAGCUAAACUGUUAAGCUCGAGACCGUUAGGGGUAACUGGAAUUUCUAGUGUAGGAGUGAAAUCCGUAGAUAUUAGAAGGAACACCAAUAGCGUAGGCAGGUUGCUGGGACGGUUCUGACACUAAGGCACGAAAGCGUAGGGAGCAAACGGGAUUAGAUACCCGAGUAGUC